rnacentral:rRNA from 1 species
UCCCUACGGGACGCAGCAGUGGGGAAUAUUGCGCAAUGGGGGAAACCCUGACGCAGCGACGCCGCGUGAGUGAAGAAGUAUUUCGGUAUGUAAAGCUCUGUCAGCAGGGAAGAAAGCAAUGACGGUACCUGACCAAGAAGCCCCGGCUAACUACGUGCCAGCAGCCGCGGUAAUACGUAGGGGGCAAGCGUUAUCCGGAAUUACUGGGUGUAAAGGGAGCGUAGACGGCUGUGCAAGUCUGGAGUGAAAGGCGGGGGCCCAACCCCCGGACUGCUCUGGAAACUGUAUGGCUGGAGUGCGGGAGG